rnacentral:lncRNA from 1 species
AUAGCACACGUGUGGAACGCGGCUGAGUGACUGUCACCAUGAGACCCUUAGCUCUGGCCUUGGAGGUUUCCUCAACCUGAGGCUGGGGCUUUGCAGGGUGGGCUGAAGAAAGCCUCUCUGCCUGGGCCUGACGUCUUGCCUAAUGAGCAGAAACACCCUUUUGGACUUAAGGAUCCUGAGCCCCCUGGCCACAAAUCACGAAGCAAAAGAAAUCAAGCAUUAAGGUUUUCCCCAGAUACUUAUUGACCGGAAUGGACUGGAAAUGGUUACAAAGGUAUAGAGAAGUUUGAAGCCAGAUAGACAGCCUUCAGCACCUAUACAGAGAACUGACCCUCUGACAAAGGAUUCUGCUGGAACAAGAGGUCAGGCCCAUCACUGCAGGCAGAGGCAUGCUGGAGGAAGAGGGGCAGAGAAGAAUUGACAGAACUUCCCCAGCAGAGGCUGCCAGAGGCCACACAGUUCCUCACACUGGUGUCACCUGCUUUAAGGGUGAAGAUGCCGAGAGGCAGGCACGUGGCAUACCGCAAAUGGCAACUUACAGGAUGCCCUGGAGACUCAGGCCAGUCUACUAGCAAACAUCAAAGACAUCAGCAGCUGCAGACCAGUCCACUCAGCAGACAGCAUGCAUGAAUCAACAAGAGCAGUUCAAUCCAGAAGAAACCCCAAGGCUUGACAAUAGGCCCAAGUCAGCAGAUGCAGCAAGAAGCCACAGGCACCUCACUUCACGAGAAGUUUCUCUCUAUGAAGUCACUACACUCGAAGCUCAGCAACAUAAUGUAAGGCA